rnacentral:tRNA from 1 species
CAAAGUAUAGCUUAAUUUAAAGCCUUUCGCUUACACCGAAAAUAUGUCCGUUAAACUCAGACUACUUUGA